AUCAGAGCCAUAUCUUCAUGCAGUUCUUGCUUGUUUUCCCACUUAAGCUAAGCAGGGUUGAGCCUAGCCAGUACCUGGAUGGGAGACCUCUUGGGGAAAACUAAGGUUGCUGCUGGAA
rnacentral:rRNA from 1 species